GACGAACGCUGGCGGCGUGCUUAACACAUGCAAGUCGAACGGAAAGGCCCUGCUCUUGUGGGGUGCUCGAGUGGCGAACGGGUGAGUAACACGUGAGUAACCUGCCCUUGACUUUGGGAUAACUUCAGGAAACUGGGGCUAAUACCGGAUAGGAGCUCCUGCUGCAUGGUGGGGGUUGGAAAGUUUCGGCGGUUGGGGAUGGACUCGCGGCUUAUCAGCUUGUUGGUGGGGUAGUGGCUUACCAAGGCUUUGACGGGUAGCCGGCCUGAGAGGGUGACCGGCCACAUGGGGACUGAGAUACGGCCCAGACUCCUACGGGAGGCAGCAGUGGGGAAUAUUGCGCAGUGGGCCGAAGCCUGAUGCAGCAACGCCGCGUGCGGGAUGACGGCCUUCGGGUUGUAAACCGCUUUCGCAUGUGACGAAGCGUGAGUGACGGUAAUGGGUAAAAAAGCACCGGCUAACUACGUG
rnacentral:rRNA from 1 species